CUAUGGAAGUUCGACCUAGUGACUUGGAGAAACUAUCAAUAUUUGCUGACCUUAUACUUUGCCAUUGAAGAGAUAAAUAAGGACUCAAACCUGCUUCCCAAUAUGACCUUGGGUUCCCACAUCUACAAUGCUUUUAAUUCUAACAAAAUAACCUUGGAGGACCCUCUGAUAUGGCUGUCUGGAAGGAGUCACAUAUGGACCAUUUGAUUCCAUGCUUAGUGACAAAGAUACAUUUGCAUUCCUUUAUCAGAUGUCUACUGAAGACAGAGGUCUAGCCCAAGGGCUGAUCUCUUUAUUGCUCCACUUUGGCUGGAAGUGGGUGGGGAUCAUUGUGUCUGAUGAUCAGAGAGGAAGGGAGUUUCUCUCUGACCUGAAAGUAAAGAUGGUAACAGAAGAUAUCUGUGUGGCUUUUAUAGAAAAACUCCCAGAUAAUUUGAAUGUAAAUGUAAACUAUGAUUAUUGUUUGCAAAACUUGAAACAACAUACUCAAGUAAAUGUGAAUUUAUUCUAUGGUGAUAUAGAUGACUUGCUGUUCUGUGUAGACAUUAGUAUCUUUGUAACCAGAAAGAAGGUGUGGAUUUUGGCAAAGCCACACUCGACAUACUUAGAGUCUAUAAUAAAUGAAAAGCAUAUUAUGAUAAACCUAUUCAGUGGAAGCUUAUCAUUUUUAAAGAAGAGAACUAUCCCUGGCUUCAAGCACUUUCUUGAGGCCCUUACACCCUCCCAUUACCCAGGAGAUGUUUACUUCUCUAAACUCUGGAUUGACAAAUUUAAUUGUUCACCUCCUGCUUCGCAAUGUGGAAAUUUUAAACCCUGUCCUUUGAAUAGUUCCCUAAAGACUAAGGAUAAAAUAAAUGAUAUGAUGUCUAUUUCUGAGCCAAGCUAUUCCUUAUGGAGUGCAGUACAUGCAGUGGCCCAUGCCCUACA